rnacentral:rRNA from 1 species
UACGUAGGGUGCAAGCGUUAAUCGGAAUUACUGGGCGUAAAGCGUGCGCAGGCGGUUUUGUAAGUCAGAUGUGAAAUCCCCGGGCUUAACCUGGGAACUGCGUUUGAAACUACAAGGCUAGAGUGUGGCAGAGGGGGGGUAGAAUUCCACGUGUAGCAGUGAAAUGCGUAGAGAUGUGGAGGAACACCGAUGGCGAAGGCAGCCCCCUGGGUCAAGAUUGACGCUCAUGCACGAAAGCGUGGGGAGCAAACAGG